rnacentral:rRNA from 2 species
GUCCACCUCUUCCCAUUCCGAACAGAGAAGUUAAGCCCGCCAGAGCCGAUGGUACUGCAGUAAAAUGUGGGAGAGUAGGUCGGUGCCAAAU